AACUUCUCAACCACAUCAUAUGUGGCUUGGACGUGGGGGUAGUUUGCAGGCUUUUGUUCUACAGAAGGUCGGCUCCCCUGAAACAUAUUAGUGGUAUCUGGGCUGCUGCUGUAGGUGUGAUAAAUUAUCUAUGCCUUUGGUAAGCUGCAUGAACAGAUUGCGCUGCUUAUAACAAAAAGAUUGAAUCUGAUGA
rnacentral:misc_RNA from 1 species